GAUGAACGCUGGCGGCGUGCCUAAUACAUGCAAGUCGAGCGAACAGACGAGGAGCUUGCUCCUCUGACGUUAGCGGCGGACGGGUGAGUAACACGUGGAUAACCUACCUAUAAGACUUGGAUAACUUCGGGAAACCGGAGCUAAUACCGGAUAAUAUAUUGAACCGCAUGGUUCAAUAGUGAAAGACGGUUUUGCUGUCACUUAUAGAUUGAUCCGCGCCGCAUUAGCUAGUUGGUAAGGUAACGGCUUACCAAGGCAACGAUGCGUAGCCGACCUGAGAGGGGGAUCGGCCACACUGGAACUGAGACACGGUCCAGACUCCUACGGGAGGCAGCAGUAGGGAAUCUUCCGCAAUGGGCGAAAGCCUGACGGAGCAACGCCGCGUGAGUGAUGAAGGUCUUCGGAUCGUAAAACUCUGUUAUUAGGGAAGAACAAAUGUGUAAGUAACUAUGCACGUCUUGACGGUACCUAAUCAGAAAGCCACGGCUAACUACGUG
rnacentral:rRNA from 1 species